rnacentral:rRNA from 1 species
CGGCCGCGGUACUUUGACCGUGCUAAGGUAGCGUAAUCAGUUGACUUUUAAAUGAAGUCUUGUAUGAAUGGAUUUAUGGGAUUAAGCUGUCUCUUUUGUAUUCUAUUGAAAUUACUAAUUAGGUGAAAAGGCCUAAAAAUGAAAAAAGACGAGAAGACCCUUAGAGUUUUAAUAAUGGUUUUUGUUGGGGCGACAAGAAGACACUUAUUAACUCUUCUAUUACAAAAUACUCUUGCCGGUUCUUUUAAGUAUGGAUAAACUACCUUAGGGAUAACAGCAUAAUCCAGUUUGGGUUUGUGACCUCGAUGUUGGACUAGGAAAGUUACACCCUAGCAGGGUGUAUAUAGGUUCUGUUCGAAC